CACCUGAGUAGGUGGUGACUCAGCACUCGGACAGCGCUUCGAUACUCUCAAAACGAUAUUCCUUCGAUAAAACCUAGUAUCGAUACCACUAGGGUUUAGUUUAACGAUAACCGCGACAAAUUAAUUAGUCCGAGUAUUAUUAAGCGUUAAUAAUACUCGAUAUAACUCAUAAUAAUAGCCCAAAUAAUUAUUUUAAGGACCUAAUAACAUUCCUAUAAUUAUUUGAAAGCUAUAUUAAAAAUUGCGUAAGCGUAGCACACUUACAGCGAAUUUUUAUUAAAAACCGGGCUUCGCUGGAGCAGCGUUUCCGAGCCGAAAGCUUUUCUUCUCGGAGCCGUCGGGCGCUCCGGGGCUUUCUUCUCGUGAUAGGGAGGUUCCCUAGACUUGGGAGGGGUUUAGGGAGGCUAGAGAGAAGUUAGAGAGAGAAAGAAAGGCUUAUGGUGUGAAGAAAAUAUGAGGAGUUCACCCUUGUAUUUAUAGGAAGUGUAUAGUAAAGUAGUCUCCAAGCUUCGUCCGUAACUUUUGCAUACGAGCUCCGUUUUUGUCUGUCUUUUUACUGUUGAGUUCCUAUUAAUGAGAUCUUCAACUUUCAUUUAGACCUCGUUGGCUAAUUCUCAUUCUAUCUCGGAUUUACAAAACUGUAUCAAAUUCGCCGCUCUUGAAAAGUAGGGACUAAGCUUCGUCCAUAACUUUCGCAUACGAGCUCCAUUUUUGUCUGUCUUUUUACUGUUGAGUUCCUAUUAAUGAGAUCUUCAACUCUCAUUUAGACAUCGUUGGCUAAUUCUCAUUCUAUCUCGUAGUCAGAUUUGGGCGUUCUUUUUAUCGAUGUUCUUAGUUUAACAUAUUCUACGACUUUCGUUUAGAUCGCUAAGGCUAAAUCUCGCUCUAUCGUAAAUUCACUAUUUACGCUUCUCGGUAUCGUGCCGGUCCUAUCGCGAAACUUCAAUGGGUCAUAACUUCUUCGCUAUAACUCGGUUUUCGGCGUUCUUUAUAUGUACGAAAACCUUGUAACAUACUCUACAACUUGAUUA
rnacentral:lncRNA from 1 species